rnacentral:rRNA from 1 species
CACGUGAGUAACCUGCCCUUAACUCUGGGAUAAGCCUGGGAAACUGGGUCUAAUACCGGAUAUGACUCCUCAUCGCAUGGUGGGGGGUGGAAAGCUUUUGUGGUUUUGGAUGGACUCGCGGCCUAUCAGCUUGUUGGUGAGGUAAUGGCUCACCAAGGCGACGACGGGUAGCCGGCCUGAGAGGGUGACCGGCCACACUGGGACUGAGACACGGCCCAGACUCCUACGGGAGGCAGCAGUGGGGAAUAUUGCACAAUGGGCGCAAGCCUGAUGCAGCGACGCCGCGUGAGGGAUGACGGCUUCGGGUUGUAAACCUCUUUCAGUAGGGAAGAAGCGAAAGUGACGGUACCUGCAGAAGAAGCGCCGGCUAACUACGUGCCAGCAGCCGCGGUAAUACGUAGGGCGCAAGCGUUAUCCGGAAUUAUUGGGCGUAAAGAGCUCGUAGGCGGUUUGUCGCGUCUGCCGUGAAAGUCCGGGGCUCAACUCCGGAUCUGCGGUGGGUACGGGCAGACUAGAGUGAUGUAGGGGAGACUGGAAUUCCUGGUGUAGCGGUGAAAUGCGCAGAUAUCAGGAGGAACACCGAUGGCGAAGGCAGGUCUCUGGGCAUUAACUGACGCUGAGGAGCGAAAGCAUGGGGAGCGAACAGGAUUAGAUACCCUGGUAGUCCAUGCCGUAAACGUUGGGCACUAGGUGUGGGGGACAUUCCACGUUUUCCGCGCCGUAGCUAACGCAUUAAGUGCCCCGCCUGGGGAGUACGGCCGCAAGGCUAAAACUCAAAGGAAUUGACGGGGGCCCGCACAAGCGGCGGAGCAUGCGGAUUAAUUCGAUGCAACGCGAAGAACCUUACCAAGGCUUGACAUGGACCGGACCGCCGCAGAAAUGUGGUUUCCCCUUUGGGGCCGGUUCACAGGUGGUGCAUGGUUGUCGUCAGCUCGUGUCGUGAGAUGUUGGGUUAAGUCCCGCAACGAGCGCAACCCUCGUUCCAUGUUGCCAGCGCGUAAUGGCGGGGACUCAUGGGAGACUGCCGGGGUCAACUCGGAGGAAGGUGGGGACGACGUCAAAUCAUCAUGCCCCUUAUGUCUUGGGCUUCACGCAUGCUACAAUGGCCGGUACAAAGGGUUGCGAUACUGUGAGGUGGAGCUAAUCCCAAAAAGCCGGUCUCAGUUCGGAUUGGGGUCUGCAACUCGACCCCAUGAAGUCGGAGUCGCUAGUAAUCGCAGAUCAGCAACGCUGCGGUGAAUACGUUCCCGGGCCUUGUACACACCGC